rnacentral:rRNA from 1 species
GACGAACGCUGGCGGCGUGCUUAACACAUGCAAGUCGAACGGAAAGGCCCUGCUUUUGUGGGGUGCUCGAGUGGCGAACGGGUGAGUAACACGUGAGUAACCUGCCCUUGACUUUGGGAUAACUUCAGGAAACUGGGGCUAAUACCGGAUAGGAGCUCCUGCUGCAUGGUGGGGGUUGGAAAGUUUCGGCGGUUGGGGAUGGACUCGCGGCUUAUCAGCUUGUUGGUGGGGUAGUGGCUUACCAAGGCUUUGACGGGUAGCCGGCCUGAGAGGGUGACCGGCCACAAUGGGACUGAGAUACCGCCCAGAAUCCUACGGGAGGCAGCAGUGGGGAAUAUUGCACAAUGGGCGGAAGCCUGAUGCAGCAACGCCGCGUGCGGGAUGACGGCCUUCGGGUUGGAAACCGCUUUCGCCUGUGACGAAGCGUGAGUGACGGUAAUGGGUAAAGAAGCAACGGCUAACUACGUG